UUCGUAGGCGGUGCGGCAAGUCGGAAGCGAAAUCCCUGGGCUUAACUCAGGGGCUGCUCCCGAAACUGCCGUGCUUGAGUGCGGGAGAGGCCAGUGGAAUUGCAGGUGUAGCGGUGAAAUGCGUAGAUAUCUGCAGGAACACCCGUGGCGAAGGCGGCUGGCUGGACCGCAACUGACGCUGAGGAACGAAAGCUAGGGGAGCAAACA
rnacentral:rRNA from 1 species